ACAGUGGACGCGAGCAUCUGUGGCCAAGUUUUUAAGGGCGCACGGUGGAUGCCUUGGCACCAGGAACCGAUGAAGGACGUGGGAGGCCACGAUAGUCCCCGGG
rnacentral:rRNA from 1 species